rnacentral:sRNA from 1 species
GCCGGGCGUGGAGGCGCACGCCUGUAAUCUCAGCAACUCGGGACGCUGAGGCAGGAGGAUCACAAGUUUGAGGCCAGCCUCAG